rnacentral:lncRNA from 1 species
CUGGCCGUUUGCUGGUUGGAAAUCCGUGGCAAGAUACAUUGCAAGAUGCUCUCCCAGAACACCACUUACGCCGCCUACAUGGUGUUCAAGAUGUCCGAUAGAUCCUAUGGGCUGGACCUGGAUUAUCCACCCCAGAGGGCUGAAGUUAGCACUGGGGUAACCAAAUCCACUCGUCGUGUUUGCCUCCAAGUCUAUGACAGCGAGGGCGAGGACCAUCGAGGACCUCCUAUGGAGCACGUACAUCACGCUCAGACAAGAACCGAUGGCUGGAUGGAGAUGGAGAUGGGUGAGUUCAACAACGAAGAAUGUGAAGAUGGCGAGGUGUCCAUCAGUCUCACGGGGAGAGGCGGUCACUGGAAGAGGGGUCUUAUUCUGCAUGGCAUUGAAAUCAGGGUGAAGAAAUAAGGCUCGGAACGUUGUGUGGGAAACGAGCUUUGAUUUGUAGGCCGGGUUUUAUUGGUCUAAUGUUUUCAAGGGAUGUACAAAAUGCCAACAGUUUGGUAAUGUACAAUUGAUACCUGCUCCAACGAUGUAUUCCAUUAUAAAGCCGUGGUCAUUUCAAGGCUGAGGGUUAGACUUUAUAAGGCAAAUUCGUUCUCAUUGUUCCAAAGGACACCACUCUGUGUUGGUGACGACAAAUUAUUUCACAAAAUACGCCAAAGAGGCAUCUUUGAAGAAUGUGACGUACAAAGAGAUUGUAUUUACAUAUACCUUUCGUCCAUGCACACUCCCAGAACCCACUGCAUAGUCUCUUUACAUUACCCCUAUCUGCUCAGGCACACUCACAGUUACUGCUGCUACAACAGGAGCUGAUUGAAAUAACACUGAACGAAGAACCAGAUGUUUGGGCAUAUAUUUGGAAUGCUGAAACUUACUCAGUAAAUAAGGCAUACAAGCAACUGAGCGGCUUUAGCCACCCUCACCCGGCUUUCAAAUGGAUACGGAAAAGUGCGUGCCAGAACAAACAUAAAGUGUUCUUCUGGUUAGUCUUAAAUGAUAGAAUCAGCACCAGGGAACUUCUGAGAAGGAAAAAUAUGAAUCUAGAGGACUACAGCUGCGUCCUCUGCAGCAGCAGAGUGGAGGAGACAUUGAUGCACCUUCUUUUGCAAUGCCCGCUACUCAGUGUUGGGCAUGGAUAAAUGUCCAAGUACCCAAUGACCUAGAAGUGUUCCAAGUUCUUCAGAGUUUCAGGAACCAGCUCUCAGUACCUUUCUUCAUGGAGAUCAUAAUCCUGAUGUGUUGGGUGAUCUGGAAAGCUAGAAACGACUUAAUCUUUAGGCAGAUCAGUCCACUUAUUCUGAAUUCCAAAGAAGACUUCAGAAGAGAAAUAGGUCUACUCAAGUACAGGGUGAAACACAGCUUUUCAAAUAGCUUAGAUCAAUGGAUUACAAAUCUCUCAUAGCCUGGUUUCUCCUAAUCCUGGAGUCUUUUCUUUGUUUAUUUUUUUGUUUCCUAGGCUAGCCUUGACCUCUUUCUUUACUUGUUCUCAGUUUUUGUACUCGAACCCUUUCUGGGUUUAAUUCAAUUUCAGUAGGGGCCUCGCCCCUCCUGUUUACUCAAAAAAAAAGAGAUUGUAUUUAUUAUUGAACAUAUUAUUCAUGGACUCAGCAUCCUUCAACUUUAACUGUGGAUCAAGGUACUUUGUUUUAAAUUAAAAUAGGUGCAUGAAUUUUCAAAACCAUACAAAACUAAGUUGCCCAAUUCAUUUCCAUAUUACACUCAGGUCAAUGGUCAAUGCGCGGCGUCUGUCUCGACAUACUAAGGUGGAGGUACAGUAGGGAGUUCCACAAUAUUGAAGGCGACAAUGGCGAGGUUUCCAUCAACCCUUAUGAAGACGUCAGUCGUGAAGGCUGGCCUUAUUGUCCUGGGUAUAUUAAGAUUAGACCUUAGACCCAAGGAAGAAGUGGUCUGAUGAGCCCCUUGUUUGAGCCAUGGUGGGCUGUGGUGGGCGGGUUGUUCGAGGUUGGGGCUAAUGCUUGAAUGGUAACGUCCGCGGACGUCGCUUCAUCCUUGAAGGCAUCCUCUUCGUGCCUCUUCUUCUACUUUGCCUUGUUGUUAUUUGUGGAUGAAAACCUUUGCAUGUUGGUUUAGCAUCGUCAAUGUCUUUGGUGUCGUCUCCUUCCUAAAGUUUUCGCUAGCCUUCUCUAGUUAUGCCGUCCAACUCUUGCUCGACUAUGAUGGUGCAUUUGUGCUACAAGUGGCUGUGUUGGUGGUGCUCUACAUCUUAUGUUAGUGGUGUCGUUAUGGCUCUAGUUGUCAGCCAGUUGUUGGUGUUGUUGAGUUGCUAGUUGGGUCCUUUUUUUGACUAAGUUGAGGUGCUAGUUGGAUCUAGAUGGGCGCGUUUGACCAAAUUGACUCAAGGGCGUGUUUGGAUCCAGAGACUAAAGUUUAGUCCUUGUCACAUAGGCUGUCAGAUUUUAAUUAGUAGAACUAGACAUGAGCUAAAUAUAGAACUAAUUACAGAAGUGAUGGUUAAAUUACACUAAUUAGACUUAAUAGAUUCAUAUCAUAAAAUAGUCACAAUUUGUGUAAUUAGUUUGUAACUAGUCUAUUUUUAAUACUAUUAGUAGCCAAAUUAACAUCCGAUGCAACAAGGACUAAACUUUAGCCGAACCAAACACCCACCUUAGUGGUUUUUGUCCGGUGAUUUAAGGUCAUAGUUUGAGAACUCCUGUUAAAAUAAAUGGCAAAAUUCCAUACCCUUAAUAGUAGGUGGGCCCUCAAGUAAAAAGGAUACAACCUGAGAUUUAAGGGCACCUAUUGGACUAUUUAUGUGUGUGCGUGUGUGUUUGCCAAUGCCCAGCAAAAAACUAAUGGUGUGUUCGAGGUUCUUGAGACAAAGAACUGCAUUUUUGUACAGAUUCACCACCAUGCAAUAAGGCCUUGUUUAGUUUCGAAAAGUGAAAAGUUUUCGGUACUGUAGCACUUUUUUUUUGUUUAUGACAAAUAUUAUUCAAUCAUGGGCUAACUAGGAUCAAAAGAUUCGUCUCGUGAUUUACAGCUAAACUGUGUAAUUAAUUUUUGUUUUCGUCUAUAUUUAAUGUUUCAUGCAUGUGCCACAAGAUUCGAUGUGACGGAGAAUCUUGAAAAUUUUUUGGUUUUCAGGAUGAACUAAACAAGGCCUAAGCCUUGCAUUGCAUUGCUUAGCAGCGAGGCAUGACGACAUCGCAAGAACUCCAACGGGUUAAAUUAGCUCUAUCUCCAGACGUACGUGUUCUCAGGACGUGAGGAGGGCGGCCAUUUCGGCGUCCACGGCCGUGAACCGGAACGUGAUGAGAGUAGCUCGCCGACCACGGCCGCCACGCGUUCUCCUGUAUCAGCUAGGAUCUGACGAUCGAGUUGCUUGCCAGGCAAGCUACUCAUCAUCCCCUUCCUCAAGACCUGAAUAUUUUUUUCGUUCCCCGCCUUGGAAUCGGGCUAUGGGAAUUCCUUUGGGUCUCCAACGCGUCUCGGCGUCGUCGUCGCGCGCGUUCCAAAAGCCGUGGGCAGAGCUUGGAAGCCCGCAUGCCAAUUUCAACUAUAAAUCCAUGCAUUCGAUGCAUCCCGCGAGGCCACGCUCUCACCCCAACCGAAAUCGACCCAAAGCGGAAGGAACUACUCGCGAUCAUCGAUGGAGACGACAGUGGCGGCACCGGGCGCCUCCGCCAGCUGCGAGAGCGAGAUCACGCGACUGCCGGAGGACCUCCUGUUGGCGUCGCUCGCGCGCGCCGGGCCGGUGGCCGCCUGCCGCGCCGCCGCUGUCUGCCAAGCCUUCCACGCAGCGGCCGACACCGACGCGCUCUGGGCCUGCUUCCUGCCCCACGACCUCCCUCCGUUCGCUGACAAGGAGCUCUCCCCACCACCGCCGUCCAAGAAGGAGCUGUUCAUGCGGCUCUCCGACGGCCCCGUCCUCCUCGCCGACGGCCUCACGGUACGCAACUGAGUCCGCGGAGAGCUUCUAUUCGCAUAUAUACGGAGUACACAUAUUCAUAUAUAUAUGUACUAGUUUUGCUCUCUGGUUCGUUCUGGCCGGAGCCAUCAGCUGAUCGAUUGCUAGCUCUGCUUGUGUGGUGUGGUGGGUGCAGAGCAUGUGCCUGCACAGGGAGACAGGUGCCCUGUGCUACAUGCUGUCCGCAAGGAAGCUGAGCAUCGCUUUGGCUGACAGUUUUCGUACUCCGGCCCACUGUCGCUGGAUCCCCAUCACCGGUUCCUGCAGGUUUCCUAUAUAUGAUCUCCCUCACAUGUUGGAUCGUCAUUUUUUUUGAACAAUCUUCGAUUGAUGUGAUUCAUGCAUGGAUCAGAGCCAAUUGAGUUCUUGAUUGCAAAUUACUCAAUCUUAUCCCGUGUUAAUUUAUGACAGAUUCUCAGAAGCUGUUGAACUCCGACAUUACCGGUGGUUGGAAAUAGGUGCCAAGAUUGACAGCAUGAUGCUCUCCCAACACACAACAUAUGCUGCUUAUAUUGUGUACAAAGUAGAAGAGAAUAGGUGGCAUGAACGGUUUACUAGCAUUUUUGGGGCAUCAAAGUUUCCUAAAGAAAGACAUGAUGGUUGGAUGGAGGGGGAGAUGGGCGGGUUCCAUAAUGAUGAAGGUGAAGACGGUGAGGUUUCCAUCAGCUUUAGGACGUUGCCAUAUGCGAAGAUUGGUCUUGUUGCUCUGGGUAUUGAGAUUAGACCUAAGGGCCUCCUCUCCACAUCGAUCGCCGGCAAGCGUGUGGCUAUUUGGCCAGCCUUCCGCGCCCCAUGUCAUCUCCCAUUGCUUGCUGAUGGGGAGGUCCUUCAACCCCUGGCGUCCAUGAAGGCGUUGUUCUUGCGGCUCUUGGACGGCCCCGUCCUCCUAGCCGAUGGCCUCACGGUAUGUGACUUUGCUUCUGCAUGUAUCUAUUAGUUUUAUGUGGUAGAUGAUUCUAGGACAAUCAGCUCUCAACCUGAUGCGUGUGGUGUCUGUAGAGCUCGUGGCUUGACAAGGAGACCGGUGGCAUAUGCUACAUGUUGUCCGCGAGGAAGCUCAGCAUUGCGUGGGGUGAUAAUCCGACCUAUUGGCACUGGAUUCCUAUCACCGGCUUCAGGUUGGCUAUAUAUCUCGCUCGCACAGUCAUAUAUAUGUUAGCUUGCCAAAUCUGAAAUUUUGAUGCAUAUAUGAUUAGUGAGCAUUUAGUUAUUAGUCCUUUAGUUCCGGAAUGAUAAAUGUAGCUUGUCGAAUGAAAAUCAAUAUAUAGUUUUAGGACAUAAAAGUUGUAUAAAUAUAUUUGCAUUCAAAUUGUUUCUGAAAUGGUAUUGAUUCUUUUACAAACGACGACAUGUUGUAAGCGAAAUUAUGAGUCAAAAAUCCUAUUUUGUAUGACUUUUCUUUAAUAAAUUGCACUUAUUAUUCUAGGGCAGAAGCAAUUAUAGUUGAGCUAUAUAUACCUCUAGUAAGCAUGUCAAAUGAUGCGGCGCUGGUGGACUAAGAACAUGUUAGUGUACUUUGUUCAGUAACAAUGGAGUAGUUUGGUUGGUGUCAUUGAAUCAUACUGUUCAUGAGUUUGUUCUAGCCAAUUAUUUUAGACAUUUUAGAUCCACACAAAAAGUAGUCUGAGAAGCUUGAAAGAUGCCACGUUAGGGAGAAUCAAUUGUUUGCAUCUAUUGCUCUAGUUCUUAAUGACAUAUUUUAACCUUGGUUAGUUUAUGGCAGAUUCUCAGAAGCGGCUGAACUCCAGAAGGCUAAGUGGUUGGAAAUACGUGGCAACAUUGACAGCAAGAUGCUCUCCCAACACACAACAUACAGUGCUUACAUUGUGUACAUGAUAUCUAUCGACUACUACGGGCUUCGAGCCUUAAAGACAUUCGUUAGCCUCGGAGGAAGGAAUAAGUCAACGGGCCACGUUUGUCUUGUUGAUGGCUAUAACUACUCGGAACAUUGGCAAGUGAUGCGAGAGUAUCUUCCUGAAGACACACACUUUCCUCAAGACAGAGGUGGUGGCGGGAUGAUGGAGGCGGAGCUAGGUGAGUUCCACAUUAGUGAAGGCGACAAUGGUGAGGUUUCCAUCAGUCUUAUGGAUACGUUCAGCUCUAAGUGUGGUCUUGUUGUCAUGGGCAUUGAGAUUAGACCCAAGAAACAAGGGGUUUGAUGAGAAGUAUCUUGUUUAUGCGGGUAAAUAAUGGAUUGAGAAAUCAACUCUGUAAAUUUUUUAUUAUUCGCAAGGGUGUGGUGUGGUGUGGUGUGGAGCUAGCUCAUCACAUGAUUGCCGAGGUUAAGAACUGUACCGGAAGUCUAGAACUAAGGUGUUUUCAUUAUUCUCGUGUACAUAUAUAUGUUUUGUCUCGCAGAAAAAAAAAACGAAUAUAUGGUCCAUAAGUUAUUCAUUUUGCAAUUAGAUGUCUACUAUCAGUGUUUUCCACAUUUUUCUUUCAACAUUUCCAUACCAGCUCUAGAGCCGCCGCUCCUGGUGGCAGUGGAUCAGUGACCGCCGAGCCGAAACAAAUGGGGAUUUGAUCGGCAAAACGGACGUGUGGGUGCACGGAAACGGAAAAUGGGCCUUCUCGGUAAUGCCUGCUGCCUGGCACUGUUCAUUUGUUGAAGAAUUACAGCGGCAGCCGCUGCAAAGAAGCAGAAGCCAUGAGGCCCAAUAUCUAAAAGAAGGAAUGGCACAAAUCGAGCCCAUGUACGGCCCGCAUCAUGGCGGGCGAGCAAGCCGAGCCACUCCAACGGAUUCGACAACUGCCGCUGGCUCGCUUGCUGUUCGUUGGCGACGAUGCUCUCAGUCGCAGGUCGCCGUCGACCGAACGAUUUCUCCAUCCACAACGUACAGCGAAUCGAGUCGGCGAACACGCGUGCGUGCAUCCUGAGUCCUGACGGCGACGGCCACUUUCCUGCCUUCCCCGCGGACACGCCAACAACGGCAAAUGAGCCCGGAUCGGCGUGCGCCGUCAACCACCGACUUCCGGUUCCGGGGACCCACAUGUCAUCACCUCAAUAUUUCCACUUCCAUCCGAAUCUGACUUCUGCUAUCAAAUCGAAUUCCUUCCUUGGCAAGCUUAGCCUCGAAGCAUCCGUCUGCGUCCGCGCCUCUUCCGCCCCACCCCCUACCUUACAAUACAAGCCUCCGCCUUCCACUCCCAUUCAUUAGCAGUAGCAGCGGUACUAGUUCCCCAUUCGCAUCGAGUCAACCGAGAGCGCAAGAGGAGAUCCCAAUUCCAGGCGCGGGGGAACCGACGAUGGACUCCACGGCGCCGGCGCCCGCCACCUGCGAGAUCGCGCGCCUGCCGGACGACCUCCUGUCGGCGUCGCUGGCCCGGACGGGGCCGCUCGACGCCUGCCGCGCCGCCGCGGUCUCGCCGGCCUUCCGCGCCGCGGCCGACGCCGACGCCGUCUGGUCCAGCCUCCUGCCGCGCGACCUGCCCCCGCUCGCCGACGGGGAGCUCCCCGACGACCCGCACUCCACCAAGAAGCAGCUCUUCAUGCGACUCUCCGACUCCGCCAGACCCGUCCUCCUGGCCGACGGCCUCACGGUACGGGACCUCGACCCCCCGCUUGUCUGUCUAUCUGUCUCGAUCCAUCCAUCAGCUGAUGUGAUCACUCACCCGGUUGUCUUGUGUGGUGUGGUGCCCCGCGCAGAGCAUGUGGCUGGACAGGGCCACCGCCGCCAAGUGCUACAUGCUGUCCGCCAGGAAGCUGUGCAUCAUAUGGGGCGGCACGCCGCAGUACUGGCGCUGGAUCCCUCUCACCGACUCCAGGUCUCUGAAAUCAAAAUCUUUAUCUCUAUUUAUCCAUUUAUAUAUCGGCUCGUCAGUUCUAGUCUUCAUACAAGUCAGUAGUUGCGCGUUCGUGGGUUGCUAACAUUGUUUUGAGAGCAAUCGCAGCAGCUUGAUUGUGUUAAAAACUCCUAGGUUCGCUGUUAAUUAUUUGUACUACAGUAAAUCUGAAUCGUACCCCUGUCCAUUCUGCUUUCCACAUGCACAUGACCAAAUGUUGGUCUUUUUACCUAGCUUUCAAGAGCAAAGAUUCAUGGCCUUUUUACUUUUGAUUCACUAACAUGAAUGGAUACAGCACAAAUUGGUCAAGGUCAAGGAAAUUAAUGCUGAAUGAAUGGCACUUCACCUAAACAAACACACUCUUUCAUGUACAUUGUCAUAUGAAUUUUAGGCUCAUAUAAAAUUCUAAUGCUGUGUUUGUGACAGGUUCACAGAAGGCGCAGAACUUCUGAACGUUUGCUGGUUGGAAAUCCGUGGCAAGACACAUUGCAACAUGCUCUCCCAGAACACCACCUACGCCGCCUACAUGGUGUUCAAGAUGUCCGAUGAAUCCUAUGGGUUGGAUGAUCCACUCCAGGAGGCUGAAGUUAGCAUUGGGGCAACCAAAUCCACUCGUCGGGUUUGCCUAGGAUAUGACAAUGAGGACGAGGACGGG